rnacentral:rRNA from 1 species
GUAAUGGCAGGUCAGCAUACUGCCGUGAAUACGUUCCCGGGCCUUGUACACACCGCCCGUCACACCAUGAGAGUUGGGGAUACCCAAAGCCCGUGAGCCAACUUAUAAAGAGGCAGCGGUCUAAGGUAGAAUCAAUGAUUGGGGUGAAGUCGUAACAAGGUAAC